AAACCAGAAUCUUUUAUAACCAUCCCAUUUAUCGAAUUUGUUCUCACCUAUGAUAUUACCACAGUCUUUAAAGAUCCCAUCAGAUCAGCUAAAGGAUCUAUCUUCAUAUCCAGGAGCCAACUUUGAGAUGCAUAAUUAUAUUUGCCAUUAGAAGACGUUCGUCCUCGUCUUCUCAUUGGAUUGCAAUUCCAUUAAAUAUAUUGCUCGAGCUCCCAGGUUAAGCUUGAUUUAAAUUUGCAUACAUUUUCAUAUAUUUAGGAGAAAUAAAAGAAGGCUGCAGCCACCAGAAAGUCAUUAAAGUGCGCCGAGCUGCUGGUGGAGAGACGGAGGAGAGUGGAGAGUGGAGGCCCGGAGCAGGUGAACUUAACCGCGGGCUGGAAGUGUGGACAGGAGUCGCUGGAGGGUUGGAGAGCCGCAGGGGCCCCUCGGUGUAAACCGGAGGAAUCACAGUGAAAGGAAGACUAACGACCACCUUGUGGAAGCUAAUGAGGAUCCAAAUAAAGAAUAAAGAGCACAGGGUACGUCUGGCUUUGGAGCUGAAGGCCCAGCUGCACCCACAGGUUUCCCCUCAUCAACAUCAUCAUCAUCAUCAUCAACAUCAUCACUUUUACUCUCACGUGUGUAAUGUAAUUCAUACAAGGGAAAAUGUUUCUCCAUACAUUUUCAAGGAGGCC
rnacentral:lncRNA from 1 species